CAUUACCAAAUCAACACUAUUUGAGUUAAAGGUGAAGUAGUUCUCUGUCAAGGGAGCCCUUAAAAAUUAUUCCACCUAGGGCUAUUUGAAGCUAUUUGGCAAAACCAACUAAAAAACAAACAACAAACAGACUACAAAAGUAAAGAUGAAAAAUUACCUCCUCCCAAAAUAUGGCACUAAGUAGUUCUGGCCAUAGCAUGACCUUUCCCAAUCUGUUUUUCUAGUGCAUUGGAGUGGAAAAGUCGAAUUCAUCAGAAUUCCCUUCGGGGAGGGUGCUGUAUUUGUACAGAAGACAAGCCUGUGGAACCUGUGUAUGUUGGAAGCUCAGAAAUGGAGAGUGUCUGCUGUGGGUAAAAUGCCCUGUGUAGGACAGGGAGAUAGGUCUUGUGGUAGAUUCAGAAAAGGAAGAGAGGGAGACAGAGAGGGGAUAGAUGGAGGAUAACAAAAGCCCACGAGGUGACAUCUCUUUAAGACUACCACCACCACUCCUCAGGCAGAUCUACUGGAAAAAAUCAUGAAAGGCUUGAGGUGAGUGAGUUGAAAGUGGUGGAGGGACAGAUCUCCCGUCCAGGAUCUCCUGGGGGCUGAUCAGAGAUGGACCUGAAGGGAAUGGAAUGCCGAAGGCAGAGGAAAGCACGAGGAGUCGAGAGGACAUCGGACCCUCGCAGACCGUGAUAUUGGGGUUUGGAUCAAGCUUAGCCAACUCUUUGAGGGGCCAGGUGCCCAAAUGACAUAUAGGUAACACAUUAUUUGUUUGUCAACUGAGAAAAGAAGCAGAGCAGAAAUAAAACAAAAGUAUUUAUUUGGGGGUCUCAGAAUUGCCAUUCAGGGAGCACAGACAUGGGUAGCAACCCAAAUUGUGUGCCCCUAGGGAACAAAAAUCAGGGGUUUUAAAAGACCAAAGAGAGUGCUUCUAUGAGUUGUUGACAAAUAAUUUUGAUUGGGGUUGGGGCAGACAACUAACCUUGGCCGAACAUAAUGGGUUGCUAAGGCUGUCACGAAGCAAAGCAGCAAAUCACAGGUGCUCGUGCCGUCUUUGGGAUCUCUGCAACUUGGACCAGUUCAGUAGUUCAUGGCUCCGUCUGCUGAGAACAUGACUUAUUGAGGCUGCUUUGAACGAGGGUGAAACCCCCAGUUUGAUCUCAGAUGAAACCAUCAUCUUAGAACCAGUCCACAGAUCUCUGUGUAAGUCACAGAUGCCCAUGACGAUCACUGACCCGUCACAUCACUGUCUUCAAAGUCUGUCAGUGAUCGGUCACUGCUCAUCUGUAAUGUGGGUCACGUGCAGCCAGGAAAGCAUGUAGUUGUGGAAGCUUCUCGUCUCCCGGUAAUAAACCCAUGUGAUACUUGGUAUAAUACAAAAACAUAUCAUUGAAAGAGGGAAUUGGCCAAGAAAGAUGAAAGUACCAGCCAAGAAACAAAAAGCGGUAACCUUCGAUGCCAAAUUCAAAUGAAGCAGAAGGGGAUCUCUAAAGAAAUAGCUGACCACGGGCCUGGUGACAUUACGUAUGCAGCUAGAGGAACGGAGCAACAGCAAACUUGUAGCCAUAAACGAAGAAAGUCGUUUUGACGGAAAGGAAAAAGAUGUCCCAGGGGAAAUGACAACAGAAAAAAAAAAAAUCUUUUAUGUUAAUGCAAUUCUCAGAGCUAUUUUAUAACACUGAAAGCACGAAGGUUAAUAUGUGGAUCCCAACUUCAGAAAGAGUAUGGGAAUUAGUUGAAGUGGAGAAAAGACAGUCGUUCACAUCAUAAAUUAUACGAUGAGGAGAAGGCAAGUGCUAGUCAAAAUCCCUGUGAUAAGUUUUUUAUAAAUCUCCUAAUACUCAACCUAAGGCUUUAAAUUCAGUGGACUAAAUAAAUAUUAGUUUUACUGUUCUUUUUCAUUUCUAUAUACAUUUAUAACCAACAGUGAGACAAUUUUUAAUGUUUUCACAAAAGGUCACAGAACAGUUGUAAUUCUUCCCAUUGAUUAU